rnacentral:rRNA from 1 species
GGUGAGUAAUACUUAGUAAUCUACCUAGUAGUGGGGGAUAGCACGGGGAAACUCGUAUUAAUACCGCAUACGACCUACGGGAGAAAGGGGGCAGUUUACUGCUCUCGCUAUUAGAUGAGCCUAAGUCGGAUUAGCUAGAUGGUGGGGUAAAGGCCUACCAUGGCGACGAUCUGUAGCUGGUCUGAGAGGAUGAUCAGCCACACCGGGACUGAGACACGGCCCGGACUCCUACGGGAGGCAGCAGUGGGGAAUAUUGGGCAAUGGGGGAAACCCUGACCCAGCAACGCCGCGUGGAGGAAGAAGGUUUUCGGAUCGUAAACUCCUGUCCUAAGGGAAGAGCAGAAGACUGUACCUUAGGAGGAAGCCCCGGCUAACUACGUGCCAGCAGCCGCGGUAAUACGUAGGGCGCAAGCGUUGUCCGGAAUUAUUGGGCGUAAAGAGCUCGUAGGCGGUUUGUCGCGUCUGCUGUGAAAAUCCGAGGCUCAACCUCGGACCUGCAGUGGGUACGGGCAAACUAGAGUGCGGUAGGGGAGAUUGGAAUUCCUGGUGUAGCGGUGGAAUGCGCAGAUAUCAGGAGGAACACC